CUACAUGAUGACAAAGGGCCUUUGGCCUGAAACUUAACCCAGCUCGUCGAACCCUCACAAAACAACGCAAGAGGUGUACUGAGAUAAACUUUGUUCUGAAAGC
rfam:Beauveria bassiana D1-5 contig00628, whole genome shotgun sequence.